GUUUUAUAAAAAUGAUACUCUAAGUCUGCUGUCUCACAGCAAACAAACACCUCCACUUGCACCUGUGCCGGCUCGCCUUGGAUUACUGGCGUCAGCAAAACGGUGAAAGUAAACCCAGUUAUGUCUCUCUGAUCUAAUGUGAAAACUCCAGUGUCUGUCUCGCCCAUUCAAUACACAGAUCCCUUCAAAACAAUAUUACAAUUAAAAGGGGAAGUAACCGCACCCAAAUUUUAACUGCGCACUUUUCCCCAGCAAGAAAAGAACGGGAAAAGAGACUUUUACAGCCUCUCAGACACCCGAGCUGCAGCCGGCUGGCACUUUAAAUCGUUACAGACAGUUUCUUACGUCACAGUUUCCAGCUGUAUGCGUGGGUCCCAACAACCCGGAUAUACACACCGCGGCUCGUCUUUAAGAGACGUCAACAGGUCCGCGAAUUCUCCAGAUAUAUCAACAGAAACACAGCUUUUCUUGGGCCACGGCGGGUCCACAAAUCUUUGCUGACCACGGCGGGUCCACCAAUCUUCACUGACCACGGCGGGUCCACAAAUCUUCACUGACCACGGCGGGUCCACAAAUGCACAGUGAAGCUUAAAACCCUCUUGGAUGGAACAUCAACUCUCAACAAGCACAGUUAUGCAUUGUGUAUAAAAUAAACUCAACCUGUGAAUAAAAAGGUCACUGUAAUGACAAACAUAUUCAAUGCAUUAUGAACCCCAUAAGAAAUAUUACUGAUAAAAUAAUACUGUAGAACAUGUUAUUAAUGCAUUUAUCAUAAGGCAGAUUAUAUGGUUACAGUAAAAGAAUCUCUGAAUCCUAACAAAAGUCUUCCCAACAAUAAAACUGCCUCUUUAAAUUUUCAUUUUAGGUCCUUCAGCAAUUCUGUUUUUCUGUUGUAUUUUAUUCUGUUGUAUAUAGUAUCUUAUUCUUAUUCUUAUCAUCUUAUCCUAUUCCAGUGUUUUGUUAAUUUUUGCUACUGUAACUUUGCACUGUUCACUUUCUGCUGUGACACAACAAAUUUCCCACGUGUGGGACUA
ensembl:lncRNA